AAAAAUCCCUACGGGAAUGUGGCCACCAACCCAACAUACUGCUUCAGCUUCUACUACCACAUGUAUGGGAAACAUAUAGGAACAUUAAAUGUGUAUUUGAGGCAGAAGAGCCAGACGGGUCAGGAUACGUCUGUUUGGACCCUGAGUGGGAACCAAGGAGACCGUUGGAGGCAAGCCAGAGUUAACAUCAAUCCCACGUCCUCUUUUCAGAUGGUUUUGGAGGGUAUACGUGGUUCUGGCAUUGAAGGGGAUAUUGCUGUAGAUGAUGUGGACCAUUAGAAGAAGGAGAGUGUCAAGACCCCCCACCCAGUAGUAAUAUAAGAUCCCUGGCUUCUCCCGCUGCAGUGCAUAUAUGGGAGCUCUGUCUCACAUUACUUUUGG